rnacentral:rRNA from 1 species
UACGAAGGGGGCUAGCGUUGCUCGGAAUUACUGGGCGUAAAGGGCGCGUAGGCGGCACUGUUAGUCAGGCGUGAAAGUCCUGGGCUCAACCUGGGAACUGCGCUUGAUACGGCAGAGCUAGAGGAUGGAAGAGGCUCGCGGAAUUCCCAGUGUAGAGGUGAAAUUCGUAGAGAUCGGGAGGAACACCAGUGGCGAAGGCGGCCUUCUGGACCAAUACUGACGCUCAUGCACGAAAGCGUGGGGAGCAAACAGG